rnacentral:tRNA from 1 species
GGUGGAUGUAGUUCAAUGGUAGAGCAACUGUGUGUGGCUCAGUCCGUUCCUUGUUCGAAUCAGGGUAUCCAAC